rnacentral:rRNA from 1 species
GGGCCCGCACAAGCGGUGGAGUAUGUGGUUUAAUUCGAUGCAACGCGAAGAACCUUACCAGGGUUUGACAUCCUGCGAAUCUCUUGGAAACGAGAGAGUGCCUUCGGGAACGCAGUGACAGGUGGUGCAUGGCUGUCGUCAGCUCGUGUCGUGAGAUGUUGGGUUAAGUCCCGCAACGAGCGCAACCCACGUCGUUAGUUGCCAGCAUUUAGUUGGGCACUCUAGCGAGACCGCCGGUGAUAAACCGGAGGAAGGUGUGGAUGACGUCAAGUCAUCAUGCCCCUUACGAGUAGGGCUACACACGUGCUACAAUGGCGCAUACAGAGGGCAGCCAACUUGCGAGAGUGAGCGAAUCCCAAAAAGUGCGUCGUAGUCCGGAUCGGAGUCUGCAACUCGACUCCGUGAAGUCGGAAUCGCUAGUAAUCGCAGGU